AUUGAACGCUGGCGGCAGGCCUAACACAUGCAAGUCGAGCGGCGCGGCAGAAGGGUGCGUAAUGCCUAGGUAUCUGACUGGUAGUGGGGGAUAGCGUCCAGAAACGGGCGCUAAUACCGCAUCCUAUCCGAUUCGCAUAGGUCGGAUUAGCUAGGUGUGAGGGUAAAGGCCUACCAAGGCGACGAUCCGUAACUGGUCUGAGAGGAGGAUCAGUCACACUGGAACUGAGACACGGUCCAGACUCCUACGUGAGGCAGCAGUGGGGAAUAUUGGACAAUGGGCGAAAGCCUGAUCCAGCCAUGCCGCGUGUGUGAAGAAGGUCUUCGGAUUGUAAAGCACUUUAAGUUGGGAGGCGUUACCAACAGAAUAAGCACCGGCUAACUUCGUGCCAGCAGCCGCGGUAAUUC
rnacentral:rRNA from 1 species